CCUACGGGAGGCAGCAGUGGGGAAUAUUGGACAAUGGGCGAAAGCCUGAUCCAGCAAUGCCGCGUGAGUGAAGAAGGCCUUCGGGUUGUAAAGCUCUUUUACCCGGGAAGAUAAUGACUGUACCGGGAGAAUAAGCCCCGGCUAACUCCGUGCCAGCAGCCGCGGUAAUACGGAGGGGGCUAGCGUUGUUCGGAAUUACUGGGCGUAAAGCGUACGUAGGCGGCUUUGUAAGUCAGAGGUGAAAGCCCACGACUCAAUCGUGGAACUGCCUUUGAGACUGCUUCGCUUGAAGAUGGGAGAGGUUAGUGGAAUUCCGAGUGUAGAGGUGAAAUUCGUAGAUAUUCGGAAGAACACCAGUGGCGAAGGCGGCUAACUGGACCAUUCUUGACGCUGAGGUACGAAAGCGUGGGGAGCAAACAGGAUUAGAUACCCUGGUAGUCCACGCCGUAAACGAUGAUAACUAGCUGUCGGGGCUCUUGGAGCUUCGGUGGCGCAGCUACGACAUUAAGUUAUUCCGUCCGUCGGGUAGGUACGGUCCGGCGAACGGUUAAACGUAACUAAUAGAAGUUAGUACGGCGUGAGACGUGCCGACGGACGACGACGAGGGAGUAGG
rnacentral:rRNA from 1 species